GAUGAACGCUGGCGGCGUGCCUAAUACAUGCAAGUAGAACGCUGAAGGAGGAGCUUGCUCUUCUGGAUGAGUUGCGAACGGGUGAGUAACGCGUAGGUAACCUGCCUGGUAGCGGGGGAUAACUAUUGGAAACGAUAGCUAAUACCGCAUGACAACAGUUAUUGCAUGAUAACUGUUUAAAAGGGGCAACUGCUCCACUACCAGAUGGACCUGCGUUGUAUUAGCUAGUUGGUGAGGUAACGGCUCACCAAGGCGACGAUACAUAGCCGACCUGAGAGGGGGAUCGGCCACACUGGGACUGAGACACGGCCCAGACUCCUACGGGAGGCAGCAGUAGGGAAUCUUCGGCAAUGGACGGAAGUCUGAACGAGCAACGCCGCGUGAGUGAAGAAGGUUUUCGGAUCGUAAAGCUCUGUUGUAAGAGAAGAACGAGUGUGAGAGUGGAAAGUUCACACUGUGACGGUAUCUUACCAGAAAGGGACGGCUAACUACGUG
rnacentral:rRNA from 1 species